rnacentral:tRNA from 1 species
GUGGGUGUUGCUCAGCGGCAGAGCGUGUGCUUAGCACGCACUAGGUCCUAGGUUCAACCCCCAGUCCCUCCA